GGCCGAGGCAGGCAGAUCACUUGCGGUCAAGAGUUCCAGACCAGCCUGGCCAACAUGGUGAAACGCUGUCUCUACUAAAAAAUACAAAAAUUAGCAGGGUGUGGUGGUGCGUGCCCGUAAUCCCAGCUACUUGAGAGGCUGAGGCGUGAGAAUCACUUGAACCUGGGAGGCGGAGGUUGCAGUGAGCCCAGAUCACCCCACUGUACUCCAGCUUGGGCUGCAGAGCGAGACUCCAUCUUGAAAAAAAGAAAGGCAGCUGGGUUUUAAAUGACAAGUCAAAUAUCUUCCACUGAGAUCGUGUGGUUUUAAUCAUACAAGGAGAGUGGCAGAAGAACAGAAAGAUUGAAACCAAGGACAGAGAACACCUGAAAUUGGAAUGGCUUCAAAUGUUCAGUGGAAGUGAACAAGUUCUUGUAUUGUUUUCUCCUAUUCUCCUUCCAGCUUCAGGGUCAUAUGUCACAGCGCUGGGCAUUUCAUUUGGGUAUCUAUCAUCAUUCCCAUUCUGCAAUGAGGAAAUGCUGUCAGAGUGAUUAAGUAAUUUGCCCAUGGUCUCACAUAGAAGCCUGUCUUCUCCAGGGAACACAGCACUCAGAAUCGUCUCGGCCCCUGCAUAAGCCUGCAUGAGCCUGGGCUCUGGGGACCCAUCCUGGUGCAUCAUUCGUUGGCUCUGUGACAAUGGGCACAUCGUUUAACCUCUCUUGGCUUCAUUCUCCUUACUGGAAUGAUGGAGAGAGUUUUGCCUAUUUCAGAGGCUUGCUCUUCUAUACGUGAGCCUAUAAGUAACUUGUCUUAAGAAUUUCCACUCCUUCUGUACUCUGAUUUAAAUUUGAAGGCAUCAAAACAAAAACAAUCAAGAUUUCAGAUUCCAAAUACUUUCAUUUUCAUUUUUUAUUUUGAUUAGAAUUUCUUCUGAAUGAAUUUCUGUUUUGUAAUUUUAGCAUUGCCCUGAGGGGGGGAAAAGGCAGUUUAUCACCAUGCAGUAUAUUUUUCAGACAGCCUCUCUUUGACAAACUGAUUUUUGUCAGUCUCAACUGACUCACCAAUUCCAAAUCCCAGGGCUUCCCUGGGAAACUUCCUUGGAUCAUGGCUCUGCCACACAGGACCGACAUCCCAGAGGCCAAAGCAACCUGCUAUAAACUGAGAUCAUUGCUCAGCAAGCUGGUACCACAUGCAAGGAGUCUCAAGAGCUAACAGGAAAUGAUUCAAGACCAGAAUUACCCAGAACAAGUGUGUUAGCUUCCUCUGCGCAUGGGAUAAUAAGGAGCUUGCAUCACCAACCUUCCGUGAAUAGCCUACUCAGUGAUUCAACAGGUUUCAAAAUUGUGAAAUAAGGGAUGUCUCUUGCAUGGUGUACUUUAGAAGUCUCUACCUGAGGAUGAAGGAAGUACCCAGGAGUAGGCAUCAUUCCACUUUUGUACCAUCUUCCACUAUGUUUAUAUGGGUCCUCACUGAGAAAAAGAAACUGCACAAAAGAAAGAAAAAUGCAAGUUGGAGAAGAGACCAACAUGGAGCUUGUGCUUGCUCUCAUUAAGAACUCAAUCUCUUGAAAAAUCACAUUCUAAUAUUUCUAUGGGUGAGCACGGAUUUCACAUCAGCUCCCCAUAGCCUUCUUGGGUCCAUCAGUUCAUCACUUCUAGAAGUUGGCCACCUGUGAAGCCACUUAGGGGAGGUCACUCAUCACUGCUGGUGACAGUGGUGCUCUGUGUGUGAAUACUCAUGUUCAUACCCAUGGCAGGGGAUUUUCUCUCCAGGUUAAACAGUGUUGCUGUGUUUCCCUCUCUCUUCCAGUCUCACACGUUCAGGAAAAUUAAUCCCCAAAGUCCUCAUUCAUUAUUUAGCAAAUAUGUUCAAAUAGGAGAGAAUAUCAGCUUAAGUUUAAGCUAAGGCCCUCUGCUAAGGAAAUACAAAAUAUAUAUGUGAAAAGGAAAUUCUAGUUGAAGAACAGUAUGAAAACUCCCAAAAUGGGCUGGAGAAUUUGUGAUUACAGUCUUGAGAGAUCAUUUAAAAAUAGAAUCAGAUUAGCAAAUGCGUUCAGUGCUAGGUAGGGGAGUUAGUCAUAAAUCUAACAGGCUCUAUGUAGAGCCACUGAAGACAGACAUAGUUAAAACUCAAGUUGAUUUCUGUAUAUUAUUUUUAAUGACUUAGAAUUCAAUCCAAAAUUUGCUUAGUGUUAUUGUGUACCUUUAUGCAAAUAAUGUACACUUUCUAAGCAUCAGUUAUUCUUCUGUGAAAUUGGGAUAAUUUUACUUUUGUCAAGGGCUGCCCUGAGGAGUGAAUCAGAUGCUAUACGUAAGCUCAGUGGGUACAAGGCCUAAUAGUAGUGGCUUAAUGCGUGUACUCUUCUUCUUUUUCCUUAAUAGAAGAAUAAGGUGAAAUUAAAAACAAGGUUGAUAAUUACAUGUAUAUUUUAAUGAUUCAUCAAUCAAUAAAUGAUAACAUUAACAAUAAUUUUACUGUCAGUACUUAGAAGUUAAAAGGAGAAUGGUAAAAUCAGUCUGUUGAUCCUAAAAGUUUUAUUUUUUCUUUCAUCCUUUCAUAAAUUAUAUCUGAAUCUAGAUUACUGAAAUGCAACAAAUAAAAAUAUUUACAAAGCUAUCUUCUCUUUUAGUGAAUAUAAUGUUAUUAGAAAAUAACGGUUACUUCAUUAUUCAACAUUCAAUGUGUCUUCUGACUUUCUUACUCCAAUUUAUAUAAAAAAUUUUUAGAAUUUUUAAAUAACAAUGUUAUUGACAUAAAAUUCACAUACCCUGCAAUUUGCUGAUUUAAAAUGUAAAUGAAAUUAUUUUUAGUAUAUGCACAGAGUGAUACAGCCACCAUCGCAAUAAAUUCAAGAACAUUUUAUCGCCUAUCAAAAAACCCUCAUCUCCCUAUAGUCACUCAGCUUCCCUGCCUCACUUCCACAACUCUAGGCAACCACUAAUCUAAUUCCUGUUUCUAUAGGUUUCUCUAUUCUGGACUUUCACAUAUAAGGAAUCAUAUAAUAUGUGGUCUUUUGUCUCUGGCUUCUUUUACUUAGCAUCAUGUUUUCAAGGUUCAUCCAUGCUGAAGCAUGGGUCAGGACUUCAUUCUUUGUAUUGCCAAAUAAUAUUCCAUUGUAUGGAUGCACCACAUUCUAUUUACCCAUUCAGGAUUUAAUGUACAUUUGAGUUGGUUUCCAAAUUUUGGCUAUUGUGAAUAAUGCUGCUAUAGAAUUACAGAAUUUUAGAAGGUGCCAUAUGGCUUAUGUGGCCCGUUCCUCUCCAUUUACAGAUAUGCUAAUGAAGCAUCACAAAAGUGGGGUGAAUAGCCUAUGUCUCAGUGCUUCUCAGUAGCAAAACAUUAACUAGAACCCAGUUCUUGUAAUUAUUUUAUAACUGCCAUUCCCAUCUCUACCAAUAGUUUGCAAGGUUUUAGAGGGACGGCCUUGCACUAACAGUUAAAAUGGAUUAAGUAGCAGAUAUGAGCCAGUCUCUGUAUCCCCAGCAAUAUACAGUGUAGUGGAAUAUACAACACGACUUGGUGAUUGGGUCUGAUUCUAUUAAUCUCUGAAAGACUUAUCCUAGUGCAGAGCACGUAGUGAGCAUAUAAUAGGAAAUUGUGUAACUAGUAUGUUGGAAGAGCUGAAGUCAUGGGGUAUAAGCAUGCAAGCAACUUAAUGUUUGAUUUUUAUUUUCCCUUUAAGCCAUUCAUUGUGGUAGUUUUUUUGAAAUAAUCCUAGAUAAAAAUUUGGAUAGGCCCCAAUAAAUUAAAAGCCCUAGAAUCACAUUAUGUCACAAAACAGCUUUAAUUCAGUACUUAGAAUAGUAAACCUAUGUAAGAAUGAAAGGUUUCAUCUUCACUGAAGUAGAGUCUUCUCUCGUGCCUAAGGCUCACAGCCAGCCAGCAACAUGCAAGGGCUGGGGAGAUAAGGUACAAGAGGAGCUGGUGAGGCCUAAUAAAAUGGAUGCUGUGACAAGAUGGGCCUGUGUUCUCUAGACCUGGCCAGUUGUUACAACCUGUUUCUUUCAUGGCUGCUUUUAUGGGUUCUUUAGAGUUUAUCUCCCCCGUCACUGGGUGGCUACAAUUCUCUUGACACGAAUGAUUUACACCUUUCUGGUUUGUCACUUUAUCCCUCCUUAGCUUCUAGGAAUACAGCAACCCUUCAGCCAGAUCACCCCUCCUGGUGGCCCUACUGGAAAGUUCUAGAUAUUCCUUUGUAUGAAUGGUCCACAUCUGGUUCCCUGGAAAUUCUCAUGCACCCUUUGCCCUCCAAGGGCCAAAUCCAGUGUAGCCUUGCUUCUACUCAUCUUUCAGCAGCAGGGAAAUAUCCUUAUUCCACCCUUCCUCUUUGUUAAACCAGUCAAGUCUGUCCCUCUUCCCACCCUGCUAAAUACUUCAGACCACACAUAUUCUGUCCUCUGAUCAGUUUCCUUCAAGUUCCUCUCUUGACUUGAGAUGGUGAGAAAUAUGUCCUCCCACUUGGAGUGUUGAUGUGUUUAGGGGAGGGGACAGAACUCACAUCACAGCUCUCUCUCCAAGUAAAUAUUCCUGAACAUUCUUUCUGAAGCUUUUGUACUUUAGAUAUAGAAGAGGAGUUCAGCAGUCAGGGAACUGCUUUUUAUUAAAAACAAACAAACAAAACCUAAAACAUUUGACACUUUGCAUUUUGGUCUGUAGCCUUACUUUAGAAUAUCAUAUCUAUUAUAUCUUGGUCUCUCAAAUGUAAUUUACAAUUUAAUGUCUGGUUAUACUUUGAAAUUGUCUAGAAGGCAGGGUAUUACAAUAAAAGGAACAUUGACUUAGAGUGAUACUAGCUAUCAUGUGUGGAACUCUAUACCAGACACCAUGCUAAUUUAUUUAUUUAUUUAUUUAUUUAUUUAAGAUAGUGUCUCACUCUGUCGCUGGGCUGGAGUGCAGUGGUGUGAUCUCAGCUCACUGCAACCUCUGCCUCCUGGGUUCAAGCGAUUCUCCUGCCUCAGCCUCCCAAGUAGCUGGGAUUACAGGCACCUGCCACCCCUGGCUAAUUUUUGUAUUUUUUAGUAGAGACGGGGUUUCACCAUGUUGGCCAGGCUGGUCUUGAACUCCUGGCCUCAAGUCAUCUGCCCUCCUUGGCCUCUUAAAGUGCUGGGAUUACAUGCAUGAGCCACCACACCUGGCCCAAAUAAUUUAUUAACAUUAUCUCAUUAAUCUCUUUCAACAACUCAAUGAUAGAGCUAUUUUGAUCUUCAUUCAAUAAAGCAGGGACUUAAACCUUCAAAAGGUAUCAUCUAGAAUGGUGUACUAAAGGUGUAGUUUAUUUGGGUGCUUUCAACAGGAAGAAACAGAGCAAUCGCACACCCUUAAAUGGCUUCAACAACAGAAAGCAGCACUAUUUUACAUAGUAGUUAACCCAGAGAUAGGGGCCAUGCCAGUGCUAGUUAAUCUGACGGCUCAAGGAUGCGUCAAGCACCUGGGUUCUUUCAAUCUUUUGGUUAUGCAUCCUUGGUAUUUAAGCCUGUCCUAGGCUAGUUCCUUUUGCUAUCACAUGAUGGUUGCCACAUUUCUAGAAAUCAGAUCUAGAUGAGACAAUGCUUAGAAUAAUUGUUUCUCCCUUUUAGUAAAACUCUUCCUAAAUCUCACCAUGAGUGCCUGAACAAAAUGGAAUUCUGCAACAAGGAAGAAAAAGGAGGAUAUACUCUAGGUGUAGAGUUGACGACUGGUUACAGGGGUUUAAGUAACUGGACUUAAGUGGUUAAAGGAGUCUUACCUUCUCAGUUCCUUAGUUCCUUCACCUGUAAAAUCAGAGUUUUGUGUCCUGGUGAUUGUCUAUUUGCUUUUUUAUUACAGCAAAGCUGAUGGUACUUUAUGGUAUCCUUUAAAAGAAGUAAAUAUUUAAGAGUAUGACUUUUAGGUCAUUAACAAGACUGGAUCAUUGUCUUGAAAGUAAAAACACCCACAUUUCAAUUAUUGUUAGUUUUUUGUUCUUUCAGUGAUAAAUCACCAUAUAAUGUUAUGGAAGAGUUACUCAGGAGCUUCGAAUACUUAUCUCUAGAGGCAGCAGAUGUUUGUUUGUUGUAGAUGAAAUAAAUCUCCAAAGUAGACAGAUUUAUCUGUCAAUCAAUAUGGGCAUAUAGAGAGUGAGGAGACAGUGGACCUAGGCAGGCUCACACUGGCUGACCAUCACCCAGGUCAGUUGCCACACUCGUUCUGCAACUUUGAAAGGAACACACAAAGCACAGCCUCAUGCACAGCCAGUGAACAACUGGGCUCAGAUUAUCUGCGGACGCUAUAGUUUAUUUAUUUAUGUAUUUUCUCUUUUUUAGACAAGGGCUUUCCCUGUUGUCCAGGCUGGAAUGCAGAGGUGUGAUCCUAGCUCAUUGCAGCCUCAACCUCCUGGACUCAAGUGAUCCUCCCACCUCGGCCUCCCAAGUAGCUGGGACCACAGGGGUGUACCACCAAGCCCGGCUAAACUCAUUAUGUUGCCCAGGCUGGUCUCAAACUUCUGGCCUCAAGUGAUCCUCCCACCUCGGCAUCCCACAGUGCUAGAAUCACAGAUGUAAGCCACCACACUGGUCCAAGUGCAGUUUAGAUUGUUGCUCAUGCUGUUAGUCAUUUCUGGUUUUGGUUAACUUUUAUUUGUUUUAGACAGUGUCUUGCUCUGUCACCUGGACUGGAGUGCAGUGGUGUGAUCUCAGCUCACUGCAACCUCUGCCUCCGGGGUACAAGCGAUUCUCCUGCCUCAGCCUCCCAAGUAGCUGGGAUUACAGGUACCUGCCACCACACAUGGCUAAUUUUGUAUUUUUAGUAGAGACAGGGUUUUUACUAUGUUGGCCAGGCUGGUCUUGAACUCCCCUGACCUCAAGUGAUUGGCCUGUCUUGGCCUUCCAAAGUGCUGGAAUUUACAGGCGUGAGCCACCAUGCAUGGCCUCAAAUAGUAUUUUCUAAUAGUAUUUUGCACCUUUAAAAUAUUUGUUCAAACUCUAUUUUAGGCUAACCUUUGAGUACAUAGAGAUGUUUGCUCUAUUGCAGAUCUUGCUCUAAAGUUGAUCUUUCUUCCAAGCUCCUGACUUUUAUAUGAAGCUGAAGAUUCCCUAAUUAUACUUCCAUAGCUCAGGAAAAUAACUUUCAGACUUAUCCAAAAUCAAGCUCUUAAUCCUAACUGGAAGUUUUCAAUACCUGCUUAACACUCAGUUCUCAAUUGUAUUUUCUCAGAGAAGUUUCCCUCACUGUCCUGGUCUAAAUGAACUCACUCUGUUGCAUCCUCCUUCUCUCUCAUGAUGUUUAUCACACCAUGCAAUUAUAUAUUCAUUUGUGUGCCUCCUUGCUCAGUGUUUCACACUUCACCAAUCUGUGCAUAUCAGGAGGGUAGUGACCAUGUCUCUUUUGUUCACAAUUACAUUACUUGGCACAGUAUACAGUAGGUGUUCAAUAAGUAUUGUGGAAUUCAUGAAGGAUACUGCACCAUGUUUCAGAAGUUUGAAGAUGCUAGUUUUAUUAUAUCUGAAGAAACCCACCACCUUAUGCAAAAAGAAAUUACUGGGAUGCUUUAAUAUCUAAAACAUCUCUGCUGAAAGAGUCUUGUUUGUUGAAUGGAUUUAGAAAGAGAUAAAACAUUUGAUAGUGAAGAAAUGUUAUAGUAUACUGUCUUUAAUUCCUGGAUUAAAAUUUGAUAUGUUAAGAGAAGUCCAGGGUAAUAAUAGACAAAAAUUACUAGAUAACUCAAACAAAAUGUACUUGAUAUUCACUUAUCAUGAAAUACAGGUUUGUGGACUAGAUUUCUUGCUCAUUAGGAAUAUUAAAGAUCUUCAACUUCCCUUUUUUUGACAAAUUAGCAAGUUUAUGUCCAAAUAGGUUACUUGGUUUGCUCUCUACCAAUGUCACAUUGUAUAGGGGACACUAAUCACUGGUCUUCUAAUUCCUAGUCUGGUAUUUAUUUCAUUUUGUAAUUAUUUUUUAAAAGUUAUGAGGACCAUAAACAUAUUAUUUUGUGACAUAAUCUUAGCAAAAGGGCAAAGAAAGAAACUUUCAGGAUCUUAUUGUUAAGUAGUUGGAAUUUUUAAGUAACUUAUUUUACUAAAAUUUCUCUAAUUCAUAGUAACACUUAUUUCUUUAUUUCUUCAGAAAAAAACGUUGUUGUGAACGUUGGUCAUCCAUAAAAUAGAAUAUUAUUUAGUGAUAAAAGAAAUGAACUAUCAAGCCAUAAAAAAAAGUUCAAGAAACUGAAGUGUAUAUUGCAAAGUAAGCGAACCCAAUUGAAAAGGCUAUAUACUAUAUGAUUCCAACUUUAUGACAUUCUGGAAAAGGCUAAACUAUGGAGACAGUGAACAGAUUAAAAAAAACAAUGGUUACCAGGGUAUGUAGGGGAGGGAGGGAUGAAUAGGUAAAACACAGAAGAUAUUUAGUAUAGAGAAGCUAUUCUAUAUAAUGGUGGAUACGUCAUUAUACAUUUGUCAAAACCUGUAAAAUUUACAACACUAAGAGUGUGAACCCUAAGGUAAACUAUAGACUUUGGGUGAUAAUGAUGUAUCAAUUUGGUUAAUCAAUCAUAACAAGUGUACCACUCUGGUGGGGGAUAUUGAUAUUGGUGGAGGUUGUGCCUGUGGGGUCAGGAGGCAUACAGGGACUCCAUACUUCCCACUCAAUUUUGCUUUGACCCUAAAACUGCUCUAAAAAUAAAAUCUAUUUAUUAAAUGUGAAUAAAUAAAUAGGUAGGUAAGUAGGUAGAUAGAUGAUAGAUAAAUGUUGCUCAUUCCUUUUAUUUUCAUUAGUGAUGGUUCCCACUGUGCAAACAAUUUGUGGAGUGCCCUGCUUUAGAUAGCAAUAGGCAGUGUGGCACGGCAAGGCAUCAAGUCAAACCAGGGUCAGCACUUGGGUUCUGCAGGCUGCACAUUGCCUGCCAUGGUGAACGUGUCCCUCCAAAAUUCCUAUUUGAAAUCCUAACUUUCAAGGUGAUGGCAUUAGGAGAGGAGAUUAGGUCAUGGGGGCUUUGUUUUCAUGAAUGAAAUUAGUGAAAAGAGGCCUGAGGGAGCACCCUUGCCCUUUCCACCAUGUGAGGACACAGCAAGAAGACGGCUGUCUGUGAACCAGGAAGCAAGUCCUCAGCAGACACUGAGUUUGCUGGCACCUUGUCUUUGGACUUCCCAACCUCCAGAAAUAUGAGAAACAAACUUCUCUUAUGUAUAAACUACUUCACUUAUGGUACUUUGUUAUGGCAAUCCAAAUGGAUGAAGACUCUGCCCAGGCUUAUGGGCACCAUCCACAUAGACUAGGAUCUGAUUCUCCUUUGAGUUGUAACAUAGCAGCCCUCAUUCGAGUCCAUCCUCCCUUAGAAAAUUGACUGUGACUUUGGUCAAUAAAUUUAAGCUUUUUGUAUAUUUGGCAUUUCAUUUCCUAUAAAAUUGAGAUCAUAACAUAUACUUCAUAAAGUAUACAAAAAUAAUAUCCCAGAGGAAUAAUUUCUGCUGGGGGCAGAGACCUAUUAAGUGUGGCCUGCUCUAAAGGUUGUUAGAAAUGUUAUUUAUCCAUUACGGCAAAUCCUUCAGGUUUCCUCCUUAGGCUGGACUUUGGAAUCUUCUUGGAAGAUGAGGUUCUUCUUCAAUUCUUCAAUUAAAAAAAAGGCUAAGUUUGAUGAACUACAACAUCAGGAAUAAAAACAGGAAACAAUAUUCCAAGUGUGAUUCCAUCUACCAACGUAGAAGUAUGGACUACAGGCCAGAAUUCAAGAUCUCUAAGCCAUGCUCCAAUUAUCCAUAUUUGUUACUUUUGAUAUUUUCUGUUGCUUUUCCUUUUAGGGUGUAGCAGUUAAAACUUUCACUCUAAAAGUGCUCAGUGCCUGCCUUAGGAGAUACUGAGCACAUCACAGCCCAUCUUGGAAAAACAGACCUGUAAGGAUUUGAAUAGAUGGCAGUAGCCUAAAAAGAAGGGAAGGGAAGCAGGCUAAUGACCAGGAGGUGAUUUCUGUAGCGUGGGAGGAAAAAAAAGUUAUUGUUAGCCAUCCUGGUUCCAAGGGGAAAAGGGGCCGCUGCUGCCUAAGUAAAUUGCCUGACAGUGAGGCUCAAGAAAGAAUUUCCUUUCCUAGGGAGACAGUAUUAUUGGAUCUCUUAGGAAUUGCUUUCUUUCUUCCUGAUUGAAUUAUUCUUAAAUACAAGGUGUAUCUCCUUGUUUGAGUAAUAAUGCAAAUGCUGUUUUAUAUAAACUGUCUUCCCUUGACUCAUCAGAAAAUAAAACAGAAUCAUGGUAUCUAUAAUCCAGUGGCAAAUAUUUUAGAAAAAAACUAAUCUAAAUGGAAGGUAGCCUCACUGACUAUUUAGAGCCUAAUUCUUUUUUUUUUUUUUUAAUUUUUUAUUUUCUUGAGACCGAGUCUUG
rnacentral:lncRNA from 1 species